rnacentral:rRNA from 1 species
GAUUCGUAACCUUGGGAUAAGGAUUGGCUCUGAGGAUUGAGCCGGUCGGGCUGGCGACCUGAAGCAGGAACGGCACCGCACCGGGACUCGGCGGGGCUCGCCGUUCACGCGGCGCGGCCAAGCCCGGACCACCGUCGGGACCUUCCUGUGGAAAGCCUCAGCUGCGCGGUGUCUGAGGGCUUCGAGCCCAAAGUGCUAUGCUUCGGCCGGCAAAAAAAACAAAACAAAAAACAGUCAACUCAGAACUGGCAU